rnacentral:rRNA from 1 species
UUGCCCUAGUAACGGCGAGUGAAGCGGCAACAGCUCAAAUUUGAAAUCUGGCCUUCGGGUCCGAGUUGUAAUUUGCAGAGGAUGCUUUGGGCGCGGCGCCUUCCGAGUUCCCUGGAACGGGACGCCAUAGAGGGUGAGAGCCCCCGUCUGGUUGGAUGCCUAGCCUGUGUAAAGCUCCUUCGACGAGUCGAGUAGUUUGGGAAUGCUGCUCUAAAUGGGAGGUACAUGCCUUCUAAAGCUAAAUACCGGCCAGAGACCGAUAGCGCACAAGUAGAGUGAUCGAAAGAUGAAAAGCACUUUGAAAAGAGGGUUAAAUAGUACGUGAAAUUGUUGAAAGGGAAGCGCUUGUGACCAGACUUGGGCGUGGUGAAUCAUCCGGCGUUCUCGCCGGUGCACUUUGCCUGUCCAGGCCAGCAUCAGCUCGUCGCGGGGGACAAAGGCUUCGGGAAUGUGGCUCCCUCGGGAGUGUUAUAGACCGUUGCGUAAUACCCUGCGGUGGGCUGAGGUUCGCGCAUCUGCUCGGAUGCUGGCGUAAUGGUCAUCAGCGACCCGUCUUGAAACACGGACCAAGGAGUCGUCUUCGUAUGCGAGUGUUCGGGUGUCAAACCCCUACGCGUAAUGAAAGUGAACGCAGGUGAGAGCUUCGGCGCAUCAUCGACCGAUCCUGAUGUUCUCGGAUGGAUUUGAGUAAGAGCAUACGGGGCCGGACCCGAAAGAAGGUGAACUAUGCCUGUAUAGGGUGAAGCCAGAGGAAACUCUGGUGGAGGCUCGCAGCCGGUUCUGACGUGCAAAUCGAUCGUCAAAUAUGGGCACGGGGCGAAAGACUAAUCUAC